UCAGCUUUGUCUCAAUAGCAGGACACUGCUAUGGGCCAGUACCUGUUAACCAGUCCCCAACGUGAGAUAUUCCCCUGUAUCACUGCAAAUCCAAAUAAUAUCCUCAAUGACUGGAGACCAGAUCAGGAUUUACAAAAGGCAAAAACUGCUUUGUGCCCUGAUCGCACUUUAUUCCCAGGCACAAUUCUACUUACUCAAGUAAGCUGCAGCACUUGAAUAAAGUGGAGUUUUAUAUCCCAGGUUUCACAAGAGGAAAAACUGGAAGCCUCUCACUCUUUGCAUAUGUUUAGCAGGUUUCAUUCUUUCCUGAUGUAUUUUAGUAUAUGACUCUGUUUGUGUAUGUCUGCUUAUACCC